rnacentral:rRNA from 1 species
GACGAACGCUGGCGGCGUGCUUAACACAUGCAAGUCGAACGGUAAGGCCCUUCGGGGUACACGAGUGGCGAACGGGUGAGUAACACGUGGGUGAUCUGCCCUGCACUUCGGGAUAAGCCUGGGAAACUGGGUCUAAUACCGGAUAGGACCCUGGGAUGCAUGUCCUGGGGUGGAAAGCUUUUGCGGUGUGGGAUGGGCCCGCGGCCUAUGAGCUUGUUGGUGGGGUGAUGGCCUACCAAGGCGACGACGGGUAGCCGGCCUGAGAGGGUGACCGGCCACACUGGGACUGAGAUACGGCCCAGACUCCUACGGGAGGCAGCAGUGGGGAAUAUUGCACAAUGGGCGCAAGCCUGAUGCAGCGACGCCGCGUGAGGGAUGACGGCCUGCGGGUUGUAAACCUCUUUCAGCACCGACGAAGCGCAAGUGACGGUAGGUGCAGAAGAAGGACCGGCCAACUACGUGCCAGCCGCCGCAGUAA